CCCAGCGCUGAAUUUGCUUUUGCUUUCUGUAACCAAUAAAUCUUUAAAUUGUUAUUUGAUCUUUUAUGGCCCAUUGCGCUCAUUUAUAACAAAUUUGGCACGUGACUCGGAUCGAGAUUUUGGAGGGGCUCUCUGCCUGCGGGGAGGCGCGCCCCACCAUUUUGGAGGGCCCGGUUGACCCCUUAAAUUUUGUGCACAAAGUCCGGACGAAGACGCAGGACGCGUUCAGCCCGGGGACUGGGUACUGAUCCGAAGUUGGAAGGAAAAUCCGAUAACACCCAAGUGGGAAGGACCUUACCAGGUGUUGCUUACAACAGACACAGCAGUACGCACUGUGGAAAAAGGGUGGACUCACGCAAGCCGAAUCAAGGGACCAGUAGAUCCGUCUAAAUUCACCAACGACCCCGGGUGGGAAGUGAAGGGCACACCUGGGAGCCUGAAACUGACACUUAAGAAGCGAGUAAGCUCUAAUUAAAAGACAAAUUACAUUAUUCCCACCCCACCACA